rnacentral:lncRNA from 1 species
AGAAAGCUUUCAACCAAGUUGAAUUUUGUAGGAAGAAAAUUUCUCUGUACAUUGACCGCUGACCAAUCUUUGAGAUUCAAAGAAAGAGAGUGAUACCUAAGGAUGGCUUAGAUUCUUAUUUCUGAAAGCCGCCUGUGUUGGUCACAUUAGACAAUGAAAAGGAAGCAUCUCCUUGGCAAACAUCAUCAUUUCCAGGCUUAAAUGUCAGCAUCUGUGCCUGGUACCUUGACGCAAGCCAACGUAUCUCCAUCGAAAAUACGCUCCUUGCAAUAAAAAGCACUUUGCUUCACGACGCGGUUCAUACUAAUUGCAGCUGUGCUGUAUCCAGCUCCUUCAUUCUUGAAGAUCACUGGACUAUUUGACUGUGUUUCUUCUCCCUGCCAAGAGAUCUCAUUCAAGUGGCUUUCUUUUAAAAAAUAUUUCAUGAAAUCUUGCCCUAAUAUAGCAUCUAUUUUUUUUUUUCCAAAAGAUCAGACCUUCAGCAAAGUGAGGUCUAGAAUGAAGAGGAAGAGGAGGAGGAGGAGUCCUGAGAAUUGACAGCCUGUUUCAAAUGUUAUUUCUCAUUCUCGGCGGAGACACUGACAUGUGCCUUUUGAAAGGGGAUACUGUACCUUUAACCUUGACUCUGAAUGCAUUCUUAAUUUGGGAUGCAAGCUGAGGUUCAAAAAUGGAUAGCCUUUGGGUGGUGAUUGGGGGGAGGGGUGUGGCUGGAUUUAUUUAUGAGGUGUGUGGAAAAUCUUGACAUCACAUGCUAGAGCCAUUAUUCACAUGUUACAUGACACGAGAUUGGCCCUUUUAAUGCAGCAACAUCACAUAAAAAAUUUGAUUUUGUCCUGACAGCAGGCUGGUCCUCGCCUGCUCUCCCACCGCCCCAGCGAAAUGUAAUCUUUUUAGGUUAAAGGCCACGGGAAAGUGAUUGGAGCAGGCUUUCAUCAGAUCCCAGAAAGCUGGGUUUGGAACGAGCUCCCUCGGUCACCACCAGCUACAGGAGGGUGGGCAUCGAGGGCUGGUUGUGAAGGAGUGUCUUCCGUGAGGAGAGCCCCCAGGCCAGCCCAGACCCUGUCCCAGCCCUUCUCCACCACAGCUGCUCCCUGGCGGCCAGCCCAUCAUCCAAGGAAAACAGCCCAGGCAGUGGAAAAUUACAGUUUUCCAAUAAGAGAGACCAACCACAGCUUUGUAGUUUUCAUUUCAGAAUGAGUACACAUGUCAUGUCAGAAGAGAAACCCUGGCAGGAUCUAGAAGUCACCCGAUGCC